rnacentral:lncRNA from 1 species
AAGCUCGUGGACUGGCAGUGCUGGGAGGGUUGGGCCUGACAUGCCUGAGGAGGGCUGUGGAAAAUUGCCUCUUGCCUGCAGUGAUUCCCCUGAAAGAGAGUCCAGUUGGUGAACUGGCUCCUCCUGGGGAGGAGAGUGCCUGGGGUAAGAAGCUCGGAGAUCAUCCUGACGUCACUGCAACCAUGAUUUCACCAGGCUUGUGCACUGUGAGGUUAUCGCGAUCUGAAAUCUCUGCUGCUGGAAAGAGGAAUUUAUUCACAAGACUCUAA